rnacentral:rRNA from 1 species
GAACGCUGGCGGCAGCCUAAACAUGCAAGUCGAGCGGAAACGAAGAGGUGCUAGCACCUCUGGCGUCGAGCGGCGGACGGGUGAGUAAUGCUUGGGAAUAUGCCUUAUGGUGGGGGACAACAGUUGGAAACGACUGCUAAUACCGCAUAAUGUCUACGGACCAAAGUGGGGGACCUUCGGGCCUCACGCCAUAAGAUUAGCCCAAGUGGGAUUAGCUAGUUGGUGAGGUAAUGGCUCACCAAGGCGACGAUCCCUAGCUGGUUUGAGAGGAUGAUCAGCCACACUGGGACUGAGACACGGCCCAGACUCCUACGGGAGGCAGCAGUGGGGAAUAUUGCACAAUGGGCGCAAGCCUGAUGCAGCCAUGCCGCGUGUGUGAAGAAGGCCUUCGGGUUGUAAAGCACUUUCAGUAAGGAGGAAAGGUUAAGUGUUAAUAGCGCUUAGCUGUGACGUUACUUACAGAAGAAGCACCGGCUAACUCCGCGCCAGCAGCCGCGGUAAUACGGAGGGUGCGAGCGUUAAUCGGAAUUACUGGGCGUAAAGCGUACGCAGGCGGUUUGUUAAGCGAGAUGUGAAAGCCCCGGGCUCAACCUGGGAACUGCAUUUCGAACUGGCAAACUAAAGUGUGAUA